UACGUAGGGUGCAAGCGUUGUCCGGAAUUAUUGGGCGUAAAGAGCUCGUAGGCGGUUUGUCGCGUCUGCUGUGAAAACUCGGGGCUUAACCCCGGGCCUGCAGUGGGUACGGGCAGACUAGAGUGCGGUAGGGGAGACUGGAAUUCCUGGUGUAGCGGUGAAAUGCGCAGAUAUCAGGAGGAACACCGGUGGCGAAGGCGGGUCUCUGGGCCGUAACUGACGCUGAGGAGCGAAAGCGUGGGUAGCGAACAGG
rnacentral:rRNA from 1 species